rnacentral:rRNA from 1 species
GACUCUCAGCCGGAUAUCUCGACGCUCGCAACGCCCGAACGUUGGAAGAUUCGUACUUGGUGAAUUGCAGAAUCCCGUGACCAGCGAGUCUUUGAACGCAACUGCGCCGAAACUUACAAGCCUACUGCACGUAUAUUGGGUCA